ensembl:lincRNA Gm29431 predicted gene 29431
AGGAGUGGGCUGAAAGGAGUGGGAAGGAAGGAUGCAGAGGCAGUGCGGGAGGGAAGCCUUCUGUUGCCAUGGAGGGAGCAGCAAGGGCUUUUCCUGUAUCCCGGAAGACAAGUGAGUCCUCACCCCCUUGAGUGGAAUCUGGAGCCUCUGCAGCAGGCCUGGUCACCCCACCACCAUCCCGUCCCUCCCCCCAUGGCUAUCGCUUCCCUGUCCUGUUGGUCCGCCUUUUGUACGGAAGGUAGCAAGCAGCCCCUUUCCAGGAGGCCUGUUUGCCAGCACGACAGCAGCAAAUUAGUGCUCUUAAAAGGCAUUCAGCAUUUAUCCCAGCAAACGCUCACUCGCUGCGAAGGGGGCCUGUUGUGCCUUCUCCCCGAAUCUGUUGAAAGGGGGGUUCGUAGCGCAUCUUAAUCGGCUUCCUUCCACCCACCACAUUAAAUGCAUUUCAUCUA